rnacentral:rRNA from 1 species
AGAAUCAACGCUGGCGGCGUGCCUAACACAUGCAAGUCGAACGAGAAAGUGGGAGCAAUCCCACGAGUAAAGUGGCGCACGGGUGAGUAACACGUGACUAACCUACCCUUGAGUGGGGGAUAACCUAGGGAAACCUGGGCUAAUACCGCAUAAUACCUUCGGGUCAAAGGAGUAAUUCGCUUAAGGAGGGGGUCGCGGCCGAUUAGUUAGUUGGCGGGGUAAUGGCCCACCAAGACGAUGAUCGGUAUCC